UAAGCCCUUGCCUGCGGAAGCACCAUCCUUUCUCCCAGCCGCGGUGGCUGUCUGCUGGUUGGCCAACUUGUAUCCUCUUCUGCUGCCCUGCGAGCCCUUCCCCGCUUAGUCAUCGCCGCUACCGGCCCGCACUCGCUGCGGCUUUCUCCCAAGGCCGUGGGAUGGUGGUCAACGUGGCACGGAGGAGCCAGGCCUUCCCACCCUGUGGGCUUGAGCUCCAGAAGGCUCCCUCGGCCGUGAGAGGGGCCUGGGGCCGCUCCCUUCUCUCGCCUCUGCCUCGGCAAAGCUGCGCUCUGGGCUGACAGAGGGAUAAAACGGUCCCAUUAAGAUGAAAUGAGAAAAAGCACACCAAAGAUUGGCACAGCGUGGUCGGUCGGGCCUGCAGAAUGACUGUUGACUCUUUUGGUCUGCAGAGUUCCCGGCGUACUUCAGGUAGUAAUGAUGGACAGAUGAAGACUCUUAAGAUGACAGAAGAUGAUUUUUUUGGUGAUCAAGGGCUCCCAGGGCCAUGAGAGUGAUGAAAUGCAAACAUUAAAGGACCUGGUUGCCCCAGGUUUGCUGGCAGUGUGAUUCUGAGAUCAGCUUGUUUCUGGAGCUGUGCUUUAAGAUUGAUGUUACACAUAAAGCUGUCCUCAUUUGUGACUAUGGAUCCUAUGGAGUUGGGAGAAUAUGGGAAGCAGAAGGCAAGACCCUGGUCAUUAUAGGUAGGAACAGCGGCAUGUUCUAGGUGGAGACUUUUGUUUUUUUGCUAAUGCAAAAAAUUAUGUAGUGUGCUACUGAACUUAAGAGGUGAUCAAUAAAAGACUCUAGAAGUA